AUUGAACGCUGGCGGCAGGCUUAACACAUGCAAGUCGAGCGGAGUGAUGGUGCUUGCACUAUCACUUAGCGGCGGACGGGUGAGUAAUGCUUAGGAAUCUGCCUAUUAGUGGGGGACAACAUCUCGAAAGGGAUGCUAAUACCGCAUACGUCCUACGGGAGAAAGCAGGGGAUCACUUGUGACCUUGCGCUAAUAGAUGAGCCUAAGUCGGAUUAGCUAGUUGGGGGGGUAAAGGCCUACCAAGGCGACGAUCUGUAGCGGGUCUGAGAGGAUGAUCCGCCAAACUGGGACUGAGACACGGCCCAGACUCCUACGGGAGGCAGCAGUGGGGAAUAUUGGACAAUGGGGGGAACCCUGAUCCAGCCAUGCCGCGUGUGUGAAGAAGGCCUUAUGGUUGUAAAGCACUUUAAGCGAGGAGGAGGCUUACCUAGUUAAUACCUGGGAUAAGUGGACGUUACUCGCAGAAUAAGCACCGGCUAACUCUGUGCCAGCCGCCGCAGUAAAAC
rnacentral:rRNA from 1 species